GCCCAGAUGGCGGAAUAGGUAGACGCGUUGGUCUCAAACACCAAUGGAGCAAUCCGUCUCGGUUCGAGCCCGAGUCUGGGUACCC
rnacentral:tRNA from 1 species